UGUGAAUGCUACGAGUGACAUU
rnacentral:siRNA from 1 species